rnacentral:misc_RNA from 1 species
GAACUUACACCCAAGCUUGAAAAGCUUGCCGCGAUACCGGGUGUGGCGGAAACGCCGGAAAGCAAAAUUGCGCUGACGCGCGCCUGGCUUCGGUGCUGGCGCAACAACGGUUUUUGGCUCGCGGGUAUGCCCUCCACGUGGCAGAACCGAUCAAGGGCCGACGGCGUAAGCGUCAAGGACAAGAAGGGCAAAGGUACGGAC